UGGGGAAUAUUGGACAAUGGGCGCAAGCCUGAUCCAGCCAUGCCGCGUGUGUGAAGAAGGCCUUAUGGUUGUAAACUGCUUUUGUACGGAACGAAAAGCCCUGGGUUAAUACCCUGGGGUCAUGACGGUACCGUAAGAAUAAGCACCGGCUAACUACGUG
rnacentral:rRNA from 1 species